rnacentral:rRNA from 11 species
CAGGUAGGACUACCCGCUGAACUUAAGCAUA